AAGUGCUGCUGUGGGAACCCAUUUACAUUUGGUUGGUAUCCUCCCCACACCUCCAUUUAGGUCAUGGCAGUGUUCAUGUUUAAGGUCUGAAAGCUGUUACUUGAUUAUUUACUACAGGUUGGGUCAAACACACUGAUGGUUGGUUCAUCAUUUGUUUAUUCCUCACAUUUUCUGUUUCCUGUGAUGGAACCGUUUUGAAAGAUGAAAAAAAAAAAAAAAAAAGAAAAGAAUUCUUGUAAAGUGACUCUAUGCCUGUGUGUUAGUCCACAUCUUGUAUAUCUGUCGUUGUCCAUGAUCAUGCCACCGCAAAAGAAAUUUUAUUUAUUGUUAAAUCCUUCAGUUUUCAAGGUGCCUUGAGCUUUUAUUCUUUGUAUCCUUACACUUCUAAUAUUAAAAUAUCUUAAAUGAAUGGAGUAGUGAGGAAUGUUUUUAAAUAUACAUUCUGCUUCCUUAUUAUAAUAGAAUUUAGUAGAUAUAAAACAAAGUGUUUGGUAUCAAUACUGUGUGACUUUCUAGAGUGCAUUUAUGUCCAAUUAACUGGAUGUAAAUUCUUUUAGGAAAUCCUUAUUCUUAGAUUUGGGGGACAGGGGAGAAAGUGCGUGACAUGGCACGUGUGCAGAGUCAGGGGACACCAUGUAGAUAAUGACAGCCUCCAUGCUGUAGGCUUGGAAAUGAAAUUCAGGGUCAUCAGACUCAUCCAAGGAUGCUGCUUACCCAUUGAGCUGUCUAUUAAAUACCUUGGUGAUAAACUCAUUCAUUUCUGCAAUUAGACACUAAAGAAAAUUCCCAGUAAACACAAAAUAAAAAGACUAAUUAAGCACAUGUAUAUUUGCUUAGUUAUGUAUAUAUGUAUGUAUGUAUGUUUGUAUGUUUGUAUGCUCUGACAUAUAUAGCUUGAAUGAAGUGUUUUAUACCAAAUUUCUUUCCUUCCUUAACUAGGUUUUGUUUGGUUCUAAUGUAUUUUCCUCUUUGUGUUCAAAGGGUAGCCAUUCUACAAAAGUGGAAGCUGUGGUCAGAACUCUGAUGAAAAUACAACUUAGAGAUCCAGGGGCCAAAGCGCUCGUUUUCUCAACGGUAUAAUCAAGACUUUCUGCUUCAGUCUAGCUGGUUUUCCACCUCUACUUAGUGUCUAAGAACUACUUAGAAAUACUGAAGUAGAGCUAAGACUCGGAAUUACUGUCAUAGUUUUUCUGUGUCCUUAUGUUUAUAUAGAGAGAAAUGUGAUAAUACUUUAUAAAGGCAGUUCCUAUCAUGUAUUAUACUUUAUGUUAAUAUCAUUUAGAGAUAUUUUUGAGAUUUGAACAAAUAGAAUCUAUAACCUUCAAAGAUUCGUUCAUAAAUGAAAUGGCCUAUUUAAGAAAAAGUAGUUAAUGUACUAUAAAAAGUAUUAUUUAUAAAUAUAGUAAAAUACUAGUUUUACAUUUAGAAAGUUGAACUAUAACUAUUAAAUACACCAUUGUUUUUUAUUUAUAUUUUAAUUAUUUUCAGUGAUGCUUGUGGUUUUUUAUAUUAUCAUUCAACUAGUAUUUGAUGAGAAAAGAAAAUGUCGUUUCCCAACUGUCUUAGUUAGGGUUUUACUGCUGUAAACAGACACCAUGGCCAAGGCAAGUCUUAUAAAAACAACAUUUAAUUGGGGCUGGCUUACAGGUUCAGAGGUUAAGUCCAUUAUCAUCAAGGUGGGAGCAUGGCAGUAUCCAUUCAGGAAUGGCGCAGGCAGAGGUGAGAGUUCUACAUCUUCAUCCAAAGGCUGCUAGUGGAAGACUGACUUCCAGGCAACUAGGGUGAGGAUCUUAUGCCCACACCCACAGUGACACGCCUACUCCAACCAGGUCACACCUAUUCCAACAAGGCCACACCUCCACAUGGUGCCACUCCCUGGUCCAAGAAUAAACAAACCAUCACACCAACAGAGCUAGUGUUGUUGAUUCUCCAUCUGAGGGUUUUGUUUGGUUUUGCUCAUUUAACUGAAGUACAAAAGUUACUGUGGUUUAGUUAUGAUUUAUUCUCUUCUCAAAUCUCUUUGGCUAAAUGCUGUGUGUAAACACUUUUUUCUCACUUUUAUAUUCUAGUGGCAAGAUGUAUUAGAUAUUAUUUCAAAAGCUCUCACGGACAACAACAUGGAAUUUACACAAAUCAGUCGCAUUAAGACAUUCCAGGUGUGUCAAAAUUUUGCUCAUGUUUUUAACAGAUCAGUUGCAAACUGAAACUGCUGUUUUCUGGCUGACUUUGUUUAUCUUCUGUCCUGAACCCUAUAAGAAGGUUUUAAGUUCUUGAUUAUCUAGGAAAUUAACAUCUU
rnacentral:lncRNA from 1 species